rnacentral:rRNA from 1 species
AACGAACGCUGGCGGCAUGCCUAACACAUGCAAGUCGAACGAAACCUUCGGGUCUAGUGGCGCACGGGUGCGUAACGCGUGGGAAUCUGCCCCUUGCUUCGGAAUAACAGUUAGAAAUGGCUGCUAAUACCGGAUGAAGUCUUCGGACCAAAGAUUUAUCGGCUUUGGAUGGGCCCGCGUAGGAUUAGGUAGUUGGUAGGGUAAAAGCCUACCAAGCCGACGAUCCAUAGCUGGUCUGAGAGGAUGAUCAGCCACACUGGGACUGAGACACGGCCCAGACUCCUACGGGAGGCAGCAGUGGGGAAUAUUGGACAAUGGGCGCAAGCCUGAUCCAGCAAUGCCGCGUGAGUGAUGAAGGCCUUAGGGUUGUAAAGCUCUUUUGCCAGGGAUGAUAAUGACAGUACCUGGAGAAUAAGCUCCGGCUAACUCCGUG